UUGUAUUUCAUUGUUAGAAAAUACAAAGCCAAAGACUCAUACUGCCUUCAGCUUCAUCAUCAAUGCUUUGAGAAGCAUGAAGUAGCUUG
rnacentral:sRNA from 1 species